rnacentral:ncRNA from 1 species
GCAUGCCCUUUGCUAGCGUGGAGGGACCCCGACGAGACGCGCCGUACCGGGUCACGCAAAGACGACGCACC